AUGAUAGUUGUGCCUCAAUGGAUCGAGCAUAAAGUUCGCAUGACAAUGGUUAGCUUACGGCCAAGACAUCAUACAUUGCACUUUAGUGCAUUUAAGAUUUCUCGAAGCGAGCAAGCCUUAAUAGUCAAAGACUGGAGCAAAAUUGUGAAGGAUUGCAGCAGAGAAGUACUAGGGGGCAGCAAUCAGAAGCACGGCCCACAAUUAGGAGACAUGUUCAUCUGCAUGCUCCAGUAUGAUGAAGCAGGAGUGCUACACAUGUUCUAUGCUAUUUUACCUGAGAGAGAGAGCAGCAGGAGUGAUUAG
rnacentral:rRNA from 1 species